GUUUCAGCAGCCGCGGUAAUACGGAGGAUGCAAGCGUUAUCCGGAUUUAUUGGGUUUAAAGGGUGCGCAGGUGGUAUUAUAAGUCAGUGGUGAAAGUCUGGCGCUUAACGUUAGGAUUGCCAUUGAUACUGUAGUACUUGAGUAUGGGUGAGGUAGGCGGAAUGUGUAGUGUAGCGGUGAAAUGCAUAGAUAUUACACAGAACGCCGAUUGCGAAGGCAGCUUACUAAUCCAUUACUGACACUGAGGCACGAAAGCGUGGGGAUCAAACAGGAUUAGAAACCCCCGUAGUCC
rnacentral:rRNA from 1 species